UUCUCUCUCUCUCUCUCUCUCCAUUGCACAUGUAGGUUCUUUUAUUUCUGCCUUGAAGGACAUGUAAACCAUAGAUCUCUGAUUUUUGAUCUCUGGGCCUGAAUUUUGAGAUGUGGUUAUUAGCAGAACACAUUACAGAGCAUGUCUUCGUUGCUUCUCUGUUCCAUUGUCAGCUUAUCCAUUUAACGAGUGUGAACAAGCUUUUCAAUGCUUUUCGUCUUUGAGGUGUUCUAUGUGAUUUUAAAUAUAGAGAAGUCGAGUUAUAGAUGUUGAAUUCUUUCCUUUUUUAGAAACAUGGAAUCUGGGAGUGGAUUUUACUCAGCUAACGAGUUCAAAUUGGAUGCUAAAUGGCUCAUUGAUCCAAAGCAUCUUUUUGUUGGGCCAAAGAUUGGAGAGGGAGCUCAUGCCAAAGUAUUCGAGGGCAAAUAUAAAAACCAGACUGUUGCCAUUAAAAUUGUUCAUAAAGGGGAAACUCCAGAGGAGAUCACAAAGAGAGAAGCACGAUUUGCAAGGGAAGUUGCAAUGUUAUCAAGGGUUCAACAUAAGAAUUUAGUGAAGGUUGGAUUUGAUUUUAAGACUAUUGAGAUAGUUGUCCUUAGCUACGGAUCAUACAAGUGGCAGAAGAUCCAAUUGCUAAUAAUACAUAACAAAUCAUGUGUGCUAACAGAGAACGUUGAAACCUUGUGUGUCGGCAGUUUAUAGGUGCCUGCAAGGAACCUGUAAUGGUCAUAGUUACUGAGCUUUUAUUGGGAGGGACAUUGCGGAAGUACUUGCUGAACAUGCGACCAAGGUGCUUAGACACGCGUGUUGCCAUUGGUUUUGCACUUGACAUUACUCGUGCUAUGGAACGCUUGCACUCCCAUGGGAUCAUACACCGUGAUUUGAAACCAGAGAACUUACUCUUGACUGCAGAUCACAAAACUGUCAAACUAGCAGAUUUUGGACUAGCAAGAGAAGAGUCAUUAACUGAGAUGAUGACAGCUGAAACAGGAACGUAUCGUUGGAUGGCACCUGAGUUGUACAGCACUGUUACAUUAAGGCAGGGAGAUAAGAAACACUAUAACCAUAAAGUGGACGCAUAUAGCUUUGCAAUUGUGUUGUGGGAGCUCUUACAUAACAGGUUGCCAUUUGAAGGCAUGUCAAAUCUCCAGGCAGCAUACGCAGCAGCUUUUAAAAAUGUGAGGCCCAGUGCUGAAAACCUCCCGGCGGAAUUGGCUAUCAUCCUAACUUCAUGCUGGAAAGAGGACCCAAAUGCCCGGCCAAAUUUUAGCCAAAUAAUCAAAAUGCUCCUUAAUUAUCUUACUACUAUUGCUCCUCCUGAACCAGCUAUUCCUCCUCGAAUUUUCACUUCUGAGAACACUGUCUUGCCACCAGAAUCUCCCGGUACAAGUUCUUUGAUGGCAGUACGAGAUGACUUUGGAGACACUCCCAAAGCAAAGAUGGAAAACCAGCCAAAAGGUUUCUUCUUCUGCUUCAACCAUUGUUAUUAAUCCCUUAACAGUAACAGAAUGACUACAAUCUUUGGUUGGAGAAGUUUGGUAGACAAUAGGCUCUGGAGUACAUUUUGAUAGCAGCAUAAAUAGUUAAAUUAAUAAAUUCACAUUUUUAUUUUUCGUUCGAAUUAGUAGAGAUAUUGCAUUGUACUUGUCUGAUGCUGCUGCUGAAUUUAGUCGCUUAUUAGGAUCAUAAUGCCAAGAGGAUAACUUUGUCAUCGACUAGAAGUUUGGAGUUGUGGUUGCAAGAUGAAGGAAACCAACUUCAAUUUUUGUGAGAGAAAUAGUAAAAGAAAUGAACAGAGGAGCUCAAUUCAAGUUCCCUACGAGAAUAAGAGAGGGCAAAAUAUAACCUUCGUUUUCCUUAU
rnacentral:misc_RNA from 1 species